rnacentral:lncRNA from 1 species
GAGAGUAAUUCAAUAAAAUUAAACAUUUAUACCACAAAUCAUUAUUAAUAUUUAUAAUCAACAAAUGAAAAUUAUCUUAAAGCUGCUCAAUGUCACUUAAGGAUCGAUAUAUAAAGCAAUUAGACUAAGCUUUGGAUUUACACCAUUUAUUGAUAAAAGAAAAUUUUGUAUGUAAAUUUUGUUGAAUGGUUUACCGUUUUUUUUGUUAGAACAUGAUGGACAUCCUUUUCCUUCCACAAUCUGCAACGUUUUCCAGGUUCAUUAACACAUUUUUCUUCAACAAUUUUUCUUCCCAUUUCUUGCAACAAGGCAUGCAUCCACAAAUAUCGGUCGUCAUCAUCGACUUUUAUGAGAGAUUUCUUAAAGAGAACAUCAAUUCCAAUAUCUGGGAAAAACUCACAACCAUCCAAUACUUUCAUUACCAAAUCUUUCUUCUCCCCAUUGAAAAAACAUGCUAUAUCUAGAAAUAUAUUCUUCUCCCUUUCUUCUAAUCCAUCAAAGCUGAUUCUUAGUGUGUUAAGAAUUUCUCUGUCACAAUCUUGUUCAAGUCUUUCAAUUGCACUUCUCCAUUGAACUAUAUCUCUACCGCACAAAAAUGAACCCAAAACUUCAAGAGCUAAGGGGAGACCAUCAACAUAAUGUACAACAUGUUCAGAAAGUUGAUUGAAAUCAUCUUUUGGAGUUGUAUCACCACCAAAAGCUUUCAAAUUGAAAAGCCUUAGUGCAUCGUUGGUGUUCAAUGUUGUAGGCUUAUACACAUCAUCGAUUCGAUAAGAUUGGAGCAAAUGUUCAUCUCUUGUUGUUACAAUGAUCCUACUACCUAAACUGAACCAAUCACGCCUUCCAACCAAGCAUUUCAAGUGUUGUACAUUAUCAACAUCAUCAAGAACAACAAGAACUUUUUGCUAGACAACCUGCGGCUAAUUAUGGCAUUCCCUUCGUGAACAUUGAAAAAAUUGAAGCAUUCAUUUGGCAAUAUUUGAUAAAGAAGUUGUUUCUGUAAAGAAACAAGUCCACACUUGUUUGAAACUUCUCGAAUAUCAGCAAGAAAGGUUUUACCUUCAAAAUGAGGUGACAUUUGAGUGUAAACAACCCUUGCAAGAGUUGUUUUACCGAUGCCACCCAUUCCACAAAUUCCUAUAAUGCGGACAUCGUCUUCCCCAAUAUUUAUUUUCGAAUACAACUGCUCCAAACGUGAACUAAUUCCAACCAACUCAUCAUGAAGAACUGGAUAUGUCUGACAUAAAUUUGCUGAUAUCUUCUUAACAAUGUCUCCAAUAAACUCUGAUUCAUGCUACAAUGAAAUUAAAUUUCGAUGCUAUAUUUCAAAUGCACUUCUUCAUUUUUAGUUCAGUGAAUAAUGAAAUAUAAUAUAGUUGGAAGCAAACAAAAAGCAAGAAUAAGACAGCAAGAUCUGUUAUAGCAUCAAAUGACACAACUUGCUGCUUAGUUGAAAUAUGGGAAUUCUCAAUUAAACACAAAAUUAUAUAUAAAAAAAAUGCAAUCCAAAAAAAAAAAAAAAUUAGUCAUUAAAAUUAGGAAAUAUAGAAGAAAAGAAAGAAAUACCUAUUAUGUAAAUGCCAUCCUUUGAUGUUAGCUACUUGAGUCAAAGCAUUUCGCCACUUUUGGAUCUUGUCUGUAUCUUCCUUGUACCUCUCUUGGUGUUUGGCGAAGGCUUCUUCAACUUUUCCUUUUUGUUUUCUUAAAUCGGAUGGAUCCACAUCGUAGAAAAUUGGAAAUACUUUAUGUCCGUUCACAUUUUUUUGUUGAACAAUCUCAGCAAGCUCCUCCAAGGACCAUCCUGAAAAGGUAUAGGUUUUUGAAAAAACGAUUACCGAGCACCAUGAUUGCUGAAUUGCAUUGAAGAGUUUAGGUGCGAUCUCUUCACCAGCCUCCAGCUUUGGAUCAUCUCUGAAGGUGGCGAUCCCACUCCUCUUUAGAGCAUCAUAAAGAUGAUCCAUGAAGUUGUUGCGAGUAUCUUCACCUCUAAAACUCAAGAAAACAUCAUAUUUCUUUCUAGAAAUGGAGGAAGAAGUUGACGGUAACGACAACAUGAGGAUGUAUGAAAGGAGAUGGAUAUCUCAAUCUGGUGUUCAAAAUCAGAAAAUAGAUCGCCCGAUACCCACAAAGAAACUAGAAAGAGUAAGUAUAUAUAUGAGCAUAGGGGCGGAAAUUAGGGGUCAAAAGAUGAGCAAUGGAUGUUCUUGCCAAGAAGUAUCCAAGAAGGUGAGAGUUGGCAAAAUGGAAAUUACGUAAUAAUUAAAAAGUUGGGCGGUUUGUAUUUUACGUAUUUAAGAAUUAUGGGUAGAUAAGAUUAUGACUAAUAAUUAGAAUUAAUUUAUGGGCCGUUUAAAAAGUUUACCAAACAACCAACUACUCGCAUCCACACGUGGAAGAUUUCUAUCUCCAGAGACAGAUCCUUUUCGACCGGCUUGUCCAGAAUUUCUACAAUGGAUAACAGCUCUGGAGAUGAUAACCCUGGCAGGGCAGAAGUAGAAUUUUUUUUUUAAGGUACAAAAUUAAAUUGUAACUUUUAUUAUAGUAAAAAUAUAAUUUUAUAAUUUUAACCGUUUAUAUCUUUAUAAUAUUUAAAAUAUUAAAUUAAAUUAUUAUAAUUUUUAGGAGGGUCAACGUGUAAUUUUAUUUUUACUAAUUUAAAAUUUUAAAAAUCUUAAAAAACUUAAAUAAAAAACUUUUCAUUUUAAGAGAAGGAACCCUACUAUCCCCUAGAUUCGCCUCUGUAUCUCUGAGAAGCAUCAUCAUUGAUAAAUAUGCAACAGGAAACUACUCCCUUCAUUUGUCUUGAAUUUGCAAAUGCCUGCAAAAUAAAACUUCAGCGCUUAGUAAAUAAAACCAUAAAUUCCCUUCAUGGACAUUGAAAACUUUUGUAGCUAAAUACGCCUGAGAUUUUGCUCCUGAUUCAUCAUGUCUUAUCUGCCUGCCUUUGCCUUUCCAUUUAUUCCUGGAUAAAUUUCUGUUCUUCAUAUUUCUUCUAUUGAGAGGACAUUUGCUCCUCCAUAACUCUUAUUCUCUUCUGCAUGUCCAAAUAUUGCUAACUACCAGAUUGAUUAUGUUAGAACCUUUGAUCCAUUGGUGAUGCUUCGGCAUGGUGUUUAAUUUUUGGGGUUAUAAUACCAUGAAGGAGUAUUGGUAAAACUGAUGGUAUGAAUUGUAUUAAAAAAAAGUUUAUGCAUAUAACAUAAAAUGUAUUAAAAAAUCCAUUAAACUUUACAAGUUUCAAUCAGGCACAAAAGAAUGAAUUGUAUGAAUAAAAAUUUAAAUGGUAUAAAAAAUUAUGUUCUACAAAUUCGAGAUAUGUGUAGAAUAUGAGUUUAGUGUUUAACAUGUUCAUACUCAAAAUUUAGAAUUAGUUAUAACAUUUCAAGAAUAUUACCAAAUCCUAUGUUGAGUAAAGAUGUCCAAAAUGAAUACUUCAAAUCAAAUAAAAGACGUGCAUAAAAUAGAUUAGUAUGUCUAAAAAAUAAUUAAUAGUCGAUUGAGUUUUAGCUCGAUUGAUAUCAAUAUUUUUGUCAAUACAGGUGUGAAAAUAGAAUAUUGGUAAUGACAAUGUGUCACAAAGAAAAAGAGAGAAAAAUAAAGAACACACAGAUUUUACGUGGAAACCCUUUCGGAAAAAAAUCACGGGCUGAGGAGAAGAUAAUACACUAUACCGAAUUCGAAUGAAUACAAGAGGAGUAGACUAUGUCUAUUUAUAGGCUUGUAAAACUAUAUUCUAAUAAGAGUGUAGUAAGAUUGAAACACCUUAUUCUAAUUAAUAUCAAAUAGAUGGAGUUUAAUAAGGUUUAAAAACCUUAUUCUAGAAUAAAAUAAAAGAAGUGUAGUUCUAUAUGGAUUUUACUUUUAUUUUAUUUUACCAUUGUAUUUUAUUUAAAUAAGAAUUCAGGUCACUCAAUUCUAACAAUCUCCACCUUGACACGAAUUUUUAAUGAACAAGUUCUUCAUUGCAAACUCUCAACGAACAAGUUCUUCACCUCUUUCAUAAAACCCCAUUACAGGUUUAACUUCAACAAUGAACACCAACCAAGUCUAAGCAAUGCUCAAAUUUGGUUAUAGGAAGUGACUUAGUCAUCAUAUCUGCAGAAUUUUCAUGAGUAUUAAUUUUACUCACAACAAUAUCACCACGAGCAAUAAUAUCAUGAACAAAAUGAUACCGGACAUCAAUGUGUUUUGUUCUUUCAUGAAACAUUUGAUCUUUUGUAAGGAAGAUGGCACUCUGAUUGUCACAAAAUACUGUACUGAUUUGAAGGUCUUCAUUGAGUUCACUAAAGAGUCCCUUCAACCAAAUAGCUUCUUUACAAGCCUCAAUAAUCGCCAUGUACUCAGUUUCAGUGGUAGACAAAAUGACUGUAAUUUGCAAAGUGGCUUUCCAACUGAUUGCACAACCUCUAGUUGUAAAGACAUAACCUGUGGGAGAUAUUCUUCUAUCAAGGUCUCCAGCAAAAUCAGCACCAACAUACCCAAUGACUCCACAUCUCGUUCUUCCAAACUGUAAGCAAACAUCAGUAGUACCUAGUAAGUAUCUUAAAAUCCAUUGAACUUCUUUCCAAUGUUCUUUAUCUGGAUUUGCCAUGCAUCUGCUAACUUCACUGACUGCAUAUGAUAAAUCUGGACGUGAACAAAACAUAGCAUACAUGAGAGAUCCCACUGCACUAGAGCAUGGAACAUGUGACAUGUACUCAACCUCAUCAUAUGAUUGUGGAGACAAAGCUGAUGAAAGUCUGAAAUGGGCUGCUAAAGGAGUAUUAACAGGCUUAGCACUCUGCAUAUUGAACCUGCAAAGAACUUUCCCCUUCUGACUUAGGUACAAUUUACUUGCUUUUUUGUCUCUGAGAAUCUUUAUACCAAGUAUCUUCUUUGCUGGUCCCAAAUCUUUCAUCUCAAAUCUUUCACUUAGUUGGGCUUUGACCUUUCUUAUCUCUUAUUUUUCUUUCGCUACUAUCAACCUAUUAUCAACAUAAAGGAGUACAUACACAAAAGAAACAUCAUUGUUUUUCUUAAAGUAAACACAACUGUCAUAGCUACUUCUUUUGAAAUCAUGAGAAGUCAUAAAGAAAUCAAACCUUUUGUACCACUGUCUUGGUGACUGUUUCAAACUGUAAAGGGACUUUUUUAGCAAGCAAACAUAGUCCUCUUUUUCUGAGACUAUAAAACCCUCUAGUUGUUGCAUGUAAGUAUCCUCCUCAAGUUCUCUAUGCAAAAAUACAGUUUUUACAUCUAACUAUUCAAGCUCCAAAUCAUGCAUAGCCACAAUACCAAGUAAAGCUUGAAUCGAACUAUGCUUCAUAACUGGGGAGAACACAUCUGUGAAGUCCACUCCUGGAAUUUGACUGUAACCCUUUGUAGCAAGCCUUGUUUUAUAUAUGGGUUCUUCAACUCCUAGAGUCCCUUCAUUCUUUUUAAACACCCAUUUACAACGAACAAUCUUUUUAUCUUUAGGAAGUUUCACAAGAUCUCAUGAUUUGUUUUUCUGGAGUGAUUCCAUCUCUUCUUGCAUAGCAAACAUCCAAUUUUCUAAGUCUUCACAGCUAACCGCCUCAAAAUAAUUAGAUGGCUAUUGGUUUGCAUCUAUAUCUUCAACCACAUUUAAAGCAUAAGCAACUAGAUCAGCCUCGGCAUACUUCUUUGGGGGUUUAAUUUCUCUUCUACUUUUGUUUUUGGCAAUAAAGUAUUAUGGCGAAGAAGCAACUUUAUUCUGAAUUUUUGUACUGGCUUGAAAAGUCGACUCUAUUGUAGAUUCUGGAUUAAUCUGAUGCUCCACCUACUUUUGAUUUUCUUUAUUGGAAGAGAGAUAAGUUAGGUAGCAUAGUAGUUUCAUCAAAAACAACAUUUCUACUAAUCACAACAUUUCUAUUUUUAGGACACCAUAACUUAUACCCUUUUACACUAGCUUUAUAACCAAGAAAAACACAUUUAAUGGAUCUCGGUUCUAAUUUUCCAUUAUUAACAUGAGCAUACGUACGACACCUAAAGAUCUUUAAGUCAGAAUAAUCAGCAGGAUUACCAAGCCAUACCUCUUGUGGAGUCUUUUUCUCAAUGGAAAUGGAUGGAGAUCGAUUGAUCAAAAAACAUGCAGUAGAGGUUGUUUUGGCCCAAAACGACUUUGGUAAGUUGGCAUUUGACAACAUACAUCGAACCUUCUCCAUGACCAUUUUGUUCAUUUGUUCUGCAAUGCUGUUCUGCUGUGGAGUAUGACAAACUGUCAAGUGUCUCACGAUCCCUUCUGACUUGCAUAGUUAAUUAAACUCAUCAAAACAGAACUCUGAGCCAUUAUCUUUGCGGAGGUAUUUUAUUUGUUUUCCCGUCUGUUUUUCAAUCAUAUUUUUUCAAGACUUAAAUGCAAAAAACACAUCGCUUUUUUGUGUAACUCAUACCCAACCGUUUGAUUGUAUCAAUAUUCUGCAGAAUUGUAAUGUAGGACAAGAUUUCCAUGAACUAAACUAUAUCACAUGUUACACAAUACGAAAUUAAUACAAACAUGAAACAUAUUUGCUCAUGUGCACACACUUGUAUAUACGUGAUUUAAGUUAAACAAUAUAUUAGACAUGGCAUGAUUAACAACUGAUUAUAAAAUAAAGGUAUUUAGUUACACGCAGACACACAUGUAUCUAAACUCUUUACCGUUGAUGGAGAUGAAAGGAAAAUAUCCCCCCAAAUGUUAGAAUGAAAGUUGGUUGAGGGACGCUUCUGGUUGGACAUGGAUCCAUGAAUUGAAGAAGGAAGCUUUGAUGAAGACAUUUCGUUAGCUAGUAACUAUGUAUGUUGGAAACCCUACGAAAUGAGAUGAAGUGGUGUGAGGCAAAGAGCUCCUAUGUUGACUUAUUUAUACAACUUUCUCAGCAUGUGAAAAUCCUACAUUUACCUAUACAUCUGGAAAUUGAACAGUAGGAUUCGGUAAAAAUCAAAUCGCAUAGUGCCUUAUUAAUUAUUUUUUAAAUUUAAAAAAAAAGAAGAAAGUUAUUGAGAUUAUUUAAAAAUUUUGUAAAAAUAAAAAAUAUAUUAUAAAAUUUUAAAAAUUCAAAAAAAUAAAAAUUUAAUUAUUGAUUUGACAUCCACGUGUAUGUCCACGACAACAAAUUAAAUGUUUGAUUAAAAAAUUCAUCCAUUUUGGGUGAUUUGACAAAAAAAAAUAAGUUCAAAGAUUAAAGAGGUAGAAAAUUAAAUAGAGGGCUAAAAAGAUUUGGUUUUUUUUUUUUGUAAUGUUGGAAGCCUAAAUGUGUCAUUAUACCAAAUUAACUCAAUCACUUAAAAAUAUAACUAAACUAUAAACAAAACAAUUUUUAUAUGUCAUUCAAUCAUAAGUGAAGUGAUAAAUAAUUUGUAUUCAAGUUUUAAGUUGAUAUUGACAUUGUUGCCAGUGUAGGAGGAUGUGGGUUCAAGCAAGCUGAAGCGUGUCAUUCUCCUUUUUCAGGGUUAAGAAGGGAAUAUAAAUAGUUCUAGGUAUUAUAUCAAAAAAUAAUUUUUAGUUGACGUCAAAAUUUAAUUUCAUCCUCAUCCUUAUAAACAACUACUUUUUUGAAAAACAAAAUUUAAUGAAGUAUUAAUAAAGAAAUAAAAAUGUAAAUGGUUUUGAAAAAAUUUACUAUUGCUAGCAAGAAGUGUGUUGCUAAUAGAGACAGGACACUAAGAAAUUGGUGCCUAAGUUGGUGGGCACUUCUUUAGGCACUAAACGAGAAAAAUAGAAAAACACACGAACAUGAUUACGCAAUUCAGUUACUCUACGUCUGUGGAGCCUAGCUCAGUUAAAAGUUUGUACUCUUUUCAACAAUUACAAAGUGAACCCUAAUUGUAGGAAAAAAAAAUCCAAUUUGAAAAUGGUUUUCUUGCCCAGUAAAAAAUUAAAAUUUUAAAAACUGACCCAGUUUGUGAUAUUUAUAGCAGUAAACCUUAGACCGAAAUUAUACCUAUGUUUUUGGUUAAGCGAAUCCUAGACGUUUUUCGAUUUUCAACUAAACGAGUUACGUGAUUAUCAAGUGAAUUUUAAAAAUAAAAAUAAAAAUGUCACGCAAGAGAAUUUAAUAGAAAAAUUUUAACAAAAUUUUUCAACUAAACGAGUUUUUGGUUAAGCGAAUCCUAGACGUUUUUUGACUUUCAACUAAACGUGUUACGUGAUUAUCAAGUGAAUUUUUUAAAAAAAAUUUAAAAAUGUCACGCAAGAGAAUUUAAUAGAAAAAUUUUAACAAGGGUAACGAUCAAUCCUGAAUUUUUAAAUUCAAAAACUAGAAAAUUAUGCUCCUAAAAAUAAAAAUAGAGGACUAAAUUUCAAAUGUAAAAGUAUAUAGGGAUCUAGUGUAUAUUUUAAUAUUCAAAUUUUUAGUCUUUAAUUUGACACAAAUAAUAAUUAACCUAACGUGGAAUGUGGGUCGAGUCCAUACUAGUUUUGGGUCAAAGCCUAAAAACGUGUUAUAUUUCUGUUUUUCCUACAAAACUUUGUUGUCAAGAGUUCAAAUUUUACAUAUAAUUUAUCUAUAUUACAAUGAUUAAUAUAACAAUAUCUUAAUGGGUUGAGUAGAAUGGUUCAACAAGUACAAAGAUGAUGAAGGAAACUUUAACAUGUCCUUAACAAGUGAUGUGAAAGGCUUACUAGAAUUAUAUGAAGCUUCACAUUUACGUGUGCAUGGGGAAGAUAUACUUGAAGAAGCUCUUGGUUUCACCACCACUCAUCUAGGUUUAGCCAAAGCUGCGGGCACUAUCGAAUAUCCCCUUUCAGCCUUAGUCUCCCAUGCUCUAUACCAACCCAUCCGCAAGGGCUUGCCAAGGUUGGAGGCUAGGCGAUUCAUUUCCAUUUACCGAGACGAUGCUUCACAUAACAAAACACUGUUGAAGUUUGCAGAGUUGGAUUUCAACUUGUUACAAAUUUCACACAAGGAUUUCAAGGCAAUAUAUUACUCCUUCAACAUUCAAUAUUUUAAUUGUUUAUCCUAAUUUAAAAGGACUAACUGAUACCUAAUGAUGAACUAUACAUAGGCUAAUUUGAGUUUUGUUUCAGGUGGGGGAAAAGUUUAGACUUACCUACAAAACUACCUUUUGUUCGAGAUAGAUUGGUAGAAGCUUACUUUUGGGCACUGGGAGUGGAUUUUGAGCCACAAUACUCUUUUGCUAGGGAGAUAUUAGCAAAAACAAUGGUCAUGACAUCAAUAAUGGAUGACAUAUAUGACGCAUAUGGCACACUUGAAGAACUUCAACUCCUCUCGAAUGCAAUUCAGAGGUUAGCAACUUCACACGAUUCAAUUUUAAAUUUGAAAGUUGAUUCAGUUAGUUCAUUGUAAUCAUGUAUAAAAAACAUUACUCAAUAUGUUUGAUUUUGAACUUUUCUCUAAUUGAUUUUGCAGGUGGGAUGUUGAUUAUAUAGAUCAACUCCCAAAAUACAUGAAGUCAUUUUACAAGCCAUUGUUAGAUCUUUUUGGAGAAAAUGAGUAGGCAAUGAUUAAGCAAGGAAAAUAAUGUUAUGUCAAAUAUGCGAAAGAUUAUACAUUCGUACCUUAUCUCAUUUUUUAAAUAAUUUUACAUAAGCAGUAAAAAUUAGUAACCCCUUUCUCCUUUUCUCAUAUAUUAUAUGAGGAAAAUGACAAGUAGUGUUGGCAAUGAAGCAAGGUGGAGUGGGACUAUUCACCUUAACCCCAUCCAAUCUUUAUAUCUCCUACCUUGACACCACUCCGAACAUGAUUUUAUUUGAAAUUUCAUAUCCAACAAAUUUUUUUUUUCUCAACUUUACCCAACUCACACAAAAAUAUUAAAUAAUUUUUAUGUUGUAUUACUUUUUACAAUAUCAAAUAAAAUGCAUAAUAUAAAAUCAUAUAAAAAUUUAAAAUAUCUAACUAAAAAAUAAAAAAUUUAAAAUUUUAUAAAAUCUUAUAGAAGUUUAAAAAAUUUAUAAUUAAAAUAUAUAAAAUUAGUUAUGAAAUUAAAAAGGUAUUUUGGUAAUUUUUUAAGAUAGUGCAAGUUUAAGUAAAACCUUAUCUCUUCCCAAACUCUAAUUUUCAUAAAAAUAAAAUAUGUUUUAUAGGGUUGGAUCGAAACAUAUGGAUUUGGGUCAUUUUUAUUAUCCCUAAAUAUACAUAUAUGUUUAGCAUGAUUAUAUUCCAUUUUAUAAAAAUAUAUAUAUAUUUAUAUAUGAAGGAUUAUAAGUUGGUACUUAUAUACUCUAAACUUGAAAAUUUAUUAUGACCUAAAGGUAAUGACUACAAUGAAAACUUUGUACCAAUAAUGGAGGAGUAUAUGAGGAACGCGGUUUUAUCUGUUGGUUAUAUCAUGUUAACCGUCACAUCUUUUAUUGAGAUUUUUGAUUGGGCAUCCAAGAACCCUAAAAUCACUGAUGCUUCUUCCGUUGUUGAUCGUCUCAUGAAUGAUGUUACUUCACACAAGGUACCUUUUUUUCCCGAAUUUUGCAAGAGUAUUUUCAAUAAGUUAUAUUUGAUGAAUAAAACUAAUAUAAAUAUAUAGUUUGAGCAAGAGAGAGGGCACUGUGCAUCAGCUUUGAAUGCUACAUGAGAGAACAUGCAGUUUCAGAAGAAGAAGCAUGUACUGAAUUGAAGAAGCAAGUGGAGAAUGCUUGGAAAGAUAUCAACCAGGAAAUCAUAUUUAGUGAGAUAUCUAAAGUUGUUCCAAGACCGGUUCUUACACGAGUUCUCAAUUUUACAAGAUUGGAGAUGAGUACACACAUGUUGGGAAAAAUACAAAAGAUGGGAUAACUCUGUGCUCAUUGAUCCAAUCUCAGUCUCCUAUUGAGGAAUUAAGACUCUAUAUCAUCUAGCGAUCCAUUUCCUGUUUGUGUUGCUUUUAUAUGUUAUAUGCUUUUAAGAUGUUAUUUAAAUCCUAACAUCUCAGUAAUCCAUGGUGUAUAUUUAUGUUACUCUUUUUUACUAUGUUUUAUGUCGUAUUUUGAUAAAUUUUCAAAUCUCAAGAUUUCUUGAGACUUAAAGGGUUGGUGAAUGAAUCAAGGCGUUGUUAUUUAAAUGGGUUUUAUGGUUGUUCUUUUGGUGCAGUUCUGAUUGUGUCUCAACUGCUUUUUGUUUAUGAGAUUUUAGUGCAAGGGAUCAUGAGUGGUAGUUGUGUUGCAAAGGGCUAAUCCUUACAGUAUAUCAACAUGGGAUGAUGGUGAAUGAACCUUGGCUUUAAAGUUUUUUAGGUGUUAAUGAUGGUAAGUAUGUGAUUGCUUAAGAGAUUAAAGGUAUGGGUUUUAAAGAAAAUGGGUGGAUGGAAGGAAUUGUGGGUAAUCAGCAGUGCAUUUUACUGGAGGAGGGAAGUGCAACUGGUAGGGGAUUUCUAAGUUCUUAGAAUGGUUUGCAUGUAAAUUUUGGAGUUCUAAAAAAAAAAAGAGUUAACUUAAAUCACUUUUGAGAUGAAUUUCAAUGGAAAUGUGAAAUUCCCAACUAUAUGUUUUCUAAAAUGAAGAAACAAGAGAGAGAAAAUCUAACUAUUUUGCAAAGAGAAAAAAAAGAAGCCAUUUUUAUAUUACCCACUCUGCAUUGAGAAAUUAUUUUAUGGACCUUUUUAUCACAUCAUCUAGGAUUUUUUACACAAAUAAUACAAAAAAAAUUAAAAAAAUAACAAAGUAAUACAACCAUUUUAUUAUGUACCAAAAUGGUACAAACAGUAAAAAACCUAGUCGAGGGCCUGCCACAGGCGGCACCUGUGUCAUGUUUUCCUGGGGCUCCCCAAUUUGUUUGUUUUUGUUGUUUAAGGUUUAUGAUGUGAUUGGUUUUGAUUUAAUUGAGAUUUAAUUUUAAAUUUAUUUUUUUACAAGGUAUUAUUUGAUUAAAAAUAGAUAUUAAGAUAUGUUUAUAUUUAUCUAUAUUUUCAUUCAUUCAUAAUUUAAUUUUAAUUUUUAUGUUAUGUACAUUCUAUGUUUUAUUAUUUAUGUUAUGUACAUACUAUGUCUUAUUAUUUUAUCAUUUAUGUUAUUAUUUAUGUUUUAUUAUUUAUGUUAUCUACAUUCUAUGUUUUAUUAUUUUAUUUAAUUUAUUUGUUAAGUGUGUUUUAUGUUGAUUAGAUAUAUUUUUUAUGAAACUUAUUUAGCAUGUUGUAAUGAGAUUUUUUUACAAAAAUAGUAUUAAAAAUAAAAUACCGAAAAAAUAUUUUUAUGACAAAAUAAAAUACAAAAAGAAAUAAAAAUGAAAAUAGUAUAUUUACUGAAAGUAAUAAAAUUCGAAAAAAAAAAAAUUACGAACAAAGGGUCAAAAUAAAGGUUUUUUACUAAAUUUAUAAAAAAAACACACAAAAAUAAUAUAUUUCAGACAUUAUGUACUAAAAUAAUAUAAAAUAAUAAAAUACAAAAAUAGUAUAUCUUUUGAAAGUAAUAAAAUCCGAAAAUAAGAAAAAUAUGAACAAAUAGGCCAAAAUAAGGGUUUUUUUAUAAAUUUAUAUAAAAACACACUAAAUUAAUACAUUUCAAACUUUAUGUACUAAAAUAAUAUAAAAUAAUAAAAUACGAAAAUAGUAUAUUUUUUGAAAGUAAUAAAAUCUGAAAAUAAGAAAAAUACGAACAAAGGGCCAAAAAAUCGGGAAAACAUGGCACAGGUGCCGCUUGUGGCAGUGGCAUCUUUGGUGCUGCCUCUGCCACUGGCACCUUUGGUGCCGCCUAUGGCAGACCCUCGACCAGGUUUUUUACUGUUUGUACCAAUUUGGUACAUAAUAAAAUGGUUAUAUUAUUUUGGUAUUUUUUUAAUUUUUUUUGUAUUAUUUGUGUAAAAAACCUCAUCAUCUAUGGUCCCACCCAAUUAAAAGAAGACGCAUCAUCUUUGAUUCCACUUCUCCACUGAGAAGCAUCUCUACCGCACACAAAAGAACCCAAAACUUCAAGAGUUAAGGGGAGACCACUAGCAUAAUGUACAACAAGUUUAGAAAGGACUAAAUUGUAACAAUUUGGACUAAUUUAAAUAAAACAAAGAACAUGGAUAGUGAUGCCCCUAAGGGAAUAUUAAGAUAAAGUGAGACCGAAAGGUAAUCUUGUCGUGCACCCGUUCAUUAGUCACGGAUUAACUAGUGAGAUUGGAAGAUAAACUAGACCUAAUCAGUCUAAGUUGGCAAAAUUAAGACCGGAAGAUAAAAUAGAGCCACUUGGUAAUUAUGUGAUUUAUGUCAUUGGUCCAAGAUUUGGUGAACCACAUCGAAGUCAACCAACCCCUAUUAGUCAUUUGCUAGAUAGUCCUUCUAGUUUACAUUUCUUGUAAUUUAGUCCCUAGAGUAGAAUAUUUAAUUUUCUUGCAAACUUAUCUUUUAUGAAUCACCGUAAUAUAAAAUUGUAUCAAUAGACACUUAGCAUCUAUUGUGUAUGUUAGUUAUUACUCAAUUGCCUAUUCCUUUGGGUUCAAUCCUUAGAAUACUUUUGCAUUUCAUUAUUACACUAUAAAUAUAAAUAUUAAAACUGACCAGUACGCUUGCAGUAAAAUUGGGCUUUUAAAAUAGUUAUAUAAAUUUAGUGUUUUAAGCACACGCAUGCAACCGGUCAGUAGUCAAUCUCACCCCAUUAGCCACCAUGACAUGAAGUUGACUAAAGUGCUCCACUAAUAAAUCCAACCUCUUAACGAGCUUAGAAUCUAGAAAAUUGUGUGUACUUCUUGAGUCAACCAGGAUAAUGACAUUGGAGUGACCAAUACUUGCUAAAAACUGCAUAGAAUUAUGUCUCUAUAAGCCUUGAAGGGUGUGUAAAGAUAAAACUGGGGCAGUGUGUUUCGUUUCCUAUUCUAACACUUUCAGUUGUUCAGGACAUUCUUGGAACUCUUCAAACACUGGACUCUUGCUUCCACCCUCAUGAUCUGAAUAAAGUUCUACAACCAGCUGAUAAAGUUGAGACUUGGUGCACUUAUGACCUGGGGUGUAUUUGGAUGCAAACCGAAAGCAAAGUCCCUUCUUUCUUCUCUAUUCUAUUUUAGCUUGAGAAAAGGGUUUGGUUUGGAAUUUUUACCCCGAGUUACUAUUUGGAGGUCCACUUGGCCCUAUCGAGUUACAGUGGUGAUAUUGCACCUUGGGACCAAGAAUUAGGAGGCUAAGGUGACUUAUUCCCCCACUUACAUUCAAACUCUUCUUUGUGAACUUAGCCACAAUGUGUUCAACCUAUAGAGCUAGUUGAUAGCCUUCUACCAGUGUUUGAGCCUUGAACAACCAUAGAUACUACCCUAUCUCAGGUUUAAGAUUGCAAGUGAAAACACUAAGGACAUAAUCCUCACUUAGAUGUAACUGAUUAAGCAAACUUACAAAACGGUCAUGGAAUUGGUCCAUUGACCCUUUCUCCUUGAGUGAAACAUGUCCUAACAUGGGGUCUAAGAAGGAGUUAGAUCUAAAAUGAUCCCUCAGCCCUCGAACAUAUAUCUCCUAAGUCAGGUGAUGUAAUCCCCCUGUCAUUGCACAAAAGUGAUGCCAAUCUAGGGCUUUACCUUCUAAGUGCAACAUUACCAUUCUAACAUUGGUUUACUUUAUUAUAUUUGCAGCUUCAAAGAAUCGUUCUAACUUGGACCACCAAUCUUGAUAAUCUGUCCCAUCAAAUCAUGGGCAUUCUAGCUGAAGAGUUUUACUGACAAAGUCCACAAGACCAACUUGAGAAAAAGUAUUCAUGUUUUCCAAAUCUGACACAGGUGAUAAUAUAAGUGACUUUUUGGAAGGGAACUUAGGAGGAGAGCCUCCCAUAAUGCCCUUGUCUUGAACUCUUCUAGUUACACUGGCAGAAGCAUUUUGACCAAAAUAGUGUUCAAAAAGAUAAUCCACUCCUACAAGGUAAUCCAUUCCUACAAGAUAAUCAACUCCAUUGAUUUGUGAUUUUGAGAUUUUAAUUUAAAAGAUAAAUAUCGAAAUAUAUAAUUUUUUUAAAAAAAUUAAAAACUGAGACCAGUAUAAAAUUAUUUAUCUUAGAUGGAAUGCUCAAUUAGGUGAUAUUUUAUUAGGAUCAGAUAAACGAUCUCAUCGAGAGAGAGAGUCAUCACAGGAUGGAUGAUUGGGAUCGGUAGACGAUGAGACUCCAUGAGUGUGGAGCCUUCCUUGAGUGGACAACGGCAGCAUUGGGUUCACACCUGCGCGUGGAGAGGACUUUGAAGCCUUCACAAAUCAUGUAAAGAAAUGAAAGAAAAUGAAGAAAAUGUUAAAAGCAUGUGCCAAACGUACCAUGAUGAGGGAAAUGAGAUACAACAAUACAAAGCAUGAGUCCAACUAAUAAAUUAAAGCUGACUUGAAUUUUAUAGGAUGGGAUAAUUUCAUUUUCGGUCCUCUAUAAUCUUCACUAUAUGCGUAUAGCUCCUGAUUUUAGUUUAUUUAUUUAAUUCAAUCCUAACCGUUAUUUAUUUUAGUUUUUUUUAAUUAGUAUUUGUGACUCUUAACAUUACUAUUGUAGGUAUUUAGAUAACUUAAUAGAGAUAAUAUUUUUACUAUUUGAAUGCAUAAUUUAUUUUAAAUAUUAGAAGCUAUUAUUCACUUAUCUUUAAUUACUUUUAAUAAUUUUGAACUGUCAUUAAACAAGUGCAAUUUAAUAAUCUAUUACACAUUACAUUGUCAAAUAUAUUUCACGUGAUUAAAUUUUAUAAAAAUGAUAUGUAUAAAUUUGAAAUUUAUUUUCUGUACUUUUAUUUGUAGGAAUUUCAUUUAUUUAUUUUUAAAAUUUUAAAAUUCAAAUUUAAUUGUUAACCCAUUUUUUUCCUAAAAUUUAUGUGAUAUUUUGAAAUUUAAAAAAAUACACAUUCACUCCUACUAUUGUUUCUAGAAAAGUUGAAUUGGAAUUUUGGUAGAUAAAACGACUGAAGCAUGAAGAUCACCGUGUGCCAAAUUCAACCACCUUCCUUUUCUUAUACAAAAUUUUAAAGAGUUUCACAAUGAUGCCCUCGAGAAAAGAAAGUAUACAUUAAAGGAAAAAGGAAUUGUGUAAUGAGUGAUGUCAGCUUCACCGAUUAUUUCUUCUUAUCACAUGCCAAAGCAAUUUCCUUGUACAGACUGGGAAAACUCCUGGAAUUUCGUCCAAGUUUGAACGAGGUCGAGUUUUAUAUAAUACUGGACUACCAAGUGUAUGAAGUCGACCAAACACAUAGAUUACUUCGUCCGUAAUAAAUAAUAAUAAUAAUGUCGUGUUUGAUCAUGCUUGUGUUGCUGCUUUUCCUCCUGGUUGUUGCAUCUUCAGAUAUCAACCAGGGCCAGUUUAGUUUCAAUGGUUACUAGAAUGUCGAGGGAGUUGCAGGCGUAGAUUCAAGUGGGCUGUUUACACUUACAAAAUACCACAAGCCGAAUAAGUGGUCAAAUCUUCUACAAGAAUCCGAUCCAGUUCAAGAACUCCACAAAUGCAACUGUUUCCCCCUUCCCCACUACAUUCAUUUUUGCAAUUAUACCUGGAUACACCGACCUUGGUGGCCAUGGAUUGGCCUUCGUUGUCUCCCCUAACGAUGAAAUUUCUGAAGCUCUUCCCACCCACUAUCUCGGUCUUUUCAUUGAAACAAACAUAGGCUUAGACUCGAACCAUGUUGUGGCGCUUGAGCUGGGCACGGCCCGGACCAUUGCGGUCGGUGACAUAGACGGCAACCACGUCGGCAUCGACAUCAAUAACCCAAGAUCAGUGACAGCUGCUUCUGCUGGGUAUUUCACUGAUGAAAGUGAGUUCAAAAAUCUCAACCUCAAGAGUGGAUAUCCAAUGCAGGUUUGGGUUGAAUACGACGGGGUCUAGAAGCAACUUGAUGUUACAUUGUACCCAAUCAAUGUAACGAAGCCAAAACCUCACUUUUAUCCUUGAAAAAGGAUCUGUCUCCAUAUUUGUAUGAGUCUAUGUUUUUCGGCUUCUCGUCGUCCACCGGUGUUCUUGUAUCGUCGCACUACAUAUUGGCUAUUCUAAGGACAUGAUUUUUUUGCAUCUCAAUCAAAGGUUUGAAAAGUUGAAUUCUUUGAGGUGCCCAUUCAAUAGACUAAGAAAGCUGAAAAGUUGAAAUUAUAUUUAUCAUAACAUAUCAUUUUUUAUUUAUAUCAAGGAUUUUAUCAUGUUAGCAUUAUGGACACGAAUAUAAUGAAUACUAAUUUAUGGUAAAUAAGAAUCUAUUUGUACGAUCAAACAAAAAAAGGGGAAAAAAAUCAGAAAAGAGAAACUUAUAAAAUUAACUAAUAGGGGAAAAAUCUUGAAAAAGCUAGUGAAGUAGUUUACCACAUUUAAUGCUUCUUCCCUGAUUUGGCCAUUAUAAAAUUGAAAGUUUUUUGCAUCCGUUUUGGUUGCCUUCUUCCUUCGCUUCAUCAUAGAUAUUAGGUUUCUGUUUUAUGUGAGAAGUGCCAUCUACUGAUCCAUAAAGGUGUGAGCAGAGUGUUGGUGGAUGUGAGAAGAUUGAGUGGUAUGUCACUGCAACUCUUUUAUUUCUUCCAAAUCUUUCUCAUACACUAUUCUAGCACCACACUUCUUCACCUUAGCAUUGUCUUCAUCAUUUGGGUUUGAGAAAGACACCUCUAACUCAUAACAUUUUUCAUCUGAGCAAUCUGUUGCCCAUAAAUUAUUGGUUUCACAAUGACCAUAUUUAUCCUCCAAGGAAAAUGGAUAUACUUUAUCACGCGACCAAUAACGAAGAAAAAGGUGAUCUUUCAUUAUGGGCUGGUUAAAUCGUUUAUCCACCAACCAGCCGCUCCCAUCAAUCCGUCGAGGAUUUUUACCUCGAAAAUUAGAUCCAUUACAACUGGCUUCUUCAGAAUUUCUACAAUAGAUAAUUGCUCCACAACCGAUAUGCUCGUCAUCCCUUGAAGCAUCAUUAUUGACAAAAAUGCAGCAACAAGCAACUCCAAUCCAUUGACUAUCUUUCGGAACGGGUAUCUUAAUUGAAGAGUCACUUUUUUGUUGGAUAAACCAUUCUGGGAUUUCACUUCCGGGCAUCAUAAUAUCAAACUUUUUUCUUGAAUUUGCCAAUGCCUGCAAAAUAAAACACAAGUCGUUUGGUAACUAAAACCAUACAUUCUCAAGUAUGAGAUUUUGUAAGGGAGAAAAUAGAGAUUAAUCGACCUUAAGAUGUUUUUUCAGCAGUGUUAAUGCAUUGAUAUUUUCAGCCAAUUUGAAGCAGUUAAUGGCUUUAAUGAGACCAAAAUCCAAUAAAUUGCAUACAUUUGAUGGACUUGCAACUACUUCAAGUGAAGAGCAAUCAUCUAUACGCACAUCUGCUAUACUUGUUAGAAGCUCUGGCAACGAUUUAAGCAUCUUGCAAUUUGAUAAUGCAAGGAAAUUAAGCCUGCUAAGUUGAGUAAGAGCCAAGGGAAUGGUGAUGAAAUUGUUCCCCGUAAGAUAAAGAUAACUCAAAGAGGAUAGACCGUGAAUAUCUGCUUCACCAAGUGUGCACAUGUUGCAAUUUGACAAAUCAAGAAACCAAAGCUUCGAGAGCCGAGUAAGAGAUGCAGGUAUGCUGAUGAAAUUGUUACCACUAAGAUCAACAUCUGUCAAGGAGGAUAGACUAGAAAUAUCACGUGGAAUAUCUCCUUCACAAAGAUUGCAGUUCCUUAGUUUUAGCUCUCUUAAUGAACUCAAACCUAACAGCGAAGGCAACAUCCGAGGCAUGGGAUUCUUCCUUCUUCCUACAAUUACCUUGAAAAGAGAAGACAAAUUUGGUCGUAACUUUGCUUGCUGCAAAUUCUCCGACAAAUUUUCAACUCUAUAACAACCAGAAAGAUCUAGAGUUUUAAGAUGUUCCAUUUUUCUAUCAAUCUCCGGAAACCUUACAAGACUUGAGCAACCCGAAAGAAUUAAUGUUUCAAGAGAUUCCAUUCCAAUUUUGGUCGGAAGAUUUCUAAGACUUUUGCAAUCUCUUAAAUUCAAAAGUUUAAGGCUCUUAAGCACUCCUAUUGAUGGAUGAACAUCCACUAAUUUGGUACAACCUUCCAAAAUCAAAACUUCAAGAUUUGGUGCUGUUGUGAAGUCUGGUAUCUUGAGCAGGUUUUGGGACCCUUUGAGGUUGAUUAUUUUCAACUUAUACAAGGGCUGUUGAAGACAAUAAAUAAUUAGACAGAAAACAUAAUAAUGCUAACUUUUGUAUUCUUUACCUUAACCAAAGUUUAAUCAUUUAUAUUAAAAUAAGCUAAAACGAUGAGUUAAUUCUUACUCUAUUUCCCUUCCAUAGUUGUUCAAUGUGACUAUAUGGUAAAAGAAGUGCGACAAGGUUGUCCGGUUGAAAGCUUGAAGGCAAGCAUCUUAAAGGAUAUCCUGUCCAAUCUAAAAGCCGUAGUUCAUUAGAAAGAUAUUUGAUAUCAUCACAAUUUGAGACACAAAGCACUUUGAGCAAUCUCAAUUUUUUCAUCUUCAAGAAGGUAUCGAUUCUCAAAUUAAGCAUCUUGCUUGAGUCCCUAAUAACCAUGAGCAAAACAAAAAUAAGCUUCAAAAUAUACAAAAACAUUCAAUAUCUAAAAGCCAUGCUGGAUCGAUAUUGCUUUUUUAAGUAUCCAUAUCUAGCACUUAUAUCUAUUGCAUAUCUGAAUAUGGUAUUGAGAUAUGAUUAACAUAUUAGACAAUACUUUAUCUAACACUUAUAUUCGACUUUUAAUUACCUAAGCCUAAAAUAACUAGAACUAAUAUUUUGAUUUAUGUUUGGUGCACUGAUGUAUUGUUCUAUACAUUACCAGUGAACCAAAUGGUGGCAUGACCUGAAUUUAUUUUUAAGAACUUAUAAUGACAUGUUAUAACCUAGUUCAUUGAUAUAGAUUUUCGUUACAUCAAAUAUAAACCAUUACAUUAGCAAAGACUAUGAAACACAUCUCUUUAUAAUUUCUUUUGAAAGAGUAAUGUGUUCCUAUAUAAAUUUUAUAAAUAGAACAUAAAAAAAAAUUAAGCCUUAAGGGUGUACUUAGUUGAGUGAAAAAAUCAAAGGAUAUGGGGAUGAAUUGUGCUUGGUAAAGAAGAAAAGUGAGAAGAAAAAAAAGCGGAGAAAUGAUCAUUUUAUAUUAGUAAGAAGGGAAAUGUAUUAUCUUUCAAUUUUCUGUUUACUCUACCAAGCAACGUCAAAAGGUCUUUUUGUUGUUUUUUAUUGGACUUUUUACAAAAAAAAAUAAUAAUAACACUACUAGGAGUACAUAUUGAUAAAUUUAUAUGUUUCUUUUCCUACCUUUUAUUGUCGAUGAUUAUGCCUUCUAUCACUUCAGUAGCCUGAAAAUAAUCAAGAAUCGAUAAUAAGAAGAUAAAAUUAAUGCUCUAAAUUAUACGAUAAAACUUUUAAAAAUUUACAUACAUGUUCAACAUUAUCGCAAUCUUUUGGUCAAAAUAUAGUAAUUAAACUAUAUUCUAAUGAGAGUAAUUCAAUAAAAUUAAACAUUUAUAUUACAAAUCAUUAUUAAUAUUUAUAAUCAGCAAAUGAAAAUUAUCUUAAAGCAAUUAAGAUAAAAGAAAAUUAUUAAUAUUUACAUACAAUGUCAGUUAAGGAUCCAUAUAUAAACCAAUUAGACUAAGCUUUGGAUUUACACCAUAUAUUGAUAAAAGAAAAUUUUGCAUGUAAAUUUUGUUGAAUGGUUUACCGUAUUUUUUGUUAGAACAUGAUGGACAUCCUUUUCCUUCCACAAUCUGCAACAUUUUCCAGGUUCAUUAACACAUUUUUCUUCAACAAUUUUUCUUCGCAUUUCUUGCAACAAGGCAUGCAUCUGCAAAUAUUGGUUGUCAUCACUGACUUUUAUGAGAGAUUUCUUAAUGAGAACAUCGAUUCCAAUAUCUGGAAAAAACUCACAACCAUCCAAUACUUUCAUUACCAAAUCUUUCUCCUCCCCAUUGAAAAAGCAUGCUAUAUCUAGAAAUAUAUUCUUCUCCCUUUCUUCCAAUCCAUCAAAGCUAAUUCGUAGUGUGUCAAGAAUUUCUUUGUUAGAAUCUUGUUUAAGUCUUUCGAUUGCACUUCUCCAUUGAAUUAUAUCUCUACCGAACAAAAAUGAACCCAAAACUUCAAGAGCUAAGGGGAGACCAUCAACAUAAUGUACAACAUGUUCAGAAAGUUGAUUGAAAUCAUCUUUUGUAGUUGUAUCACCACCAAAAGCUUUCAAAUUGAAAAGCCUUAGUGCAUCGUUGGUGUUCAAUGUUGUAGGCUUAUACACAUCAUCGAUUCGAUAAGAUUGGAACAAAUGUUCAUCUCUUGUUGUUACAAUGAUCCUACUACCUAAACUGAACCAAUCACGCCUUCCAACCAAGCAUUUCAAGUGUUGUACAUUAUCAACAUCAUCAAGAACAACAAGAACUUUUUUGCUAGACAACCUGCGGCUAAUUAUGGCAUUCCCUUCGUGAACAUUGAAAAAAUUGAAGCAUUCAUUUGGCAAUAUUUGAUAAAGAAGUUGUUUGUGUAAAGAAACAAGUCCACACUUGUUUGAAACUUCUCGAAUAUCAGCAAGAAAGCUUUUACCUUCAAAAUGAGGUGACAUUUGAGUGUAAACAACCCUUGCAAGAGUUGUUUUACCGAUGCCACCCAUUCCACAAAUUCCUAUAAUGCGGACAUCGUCUUCCCCAAUAUUUAUCUUCGAAUACAACUGCUCCAAACGUGAACUAAUUCCAACCAACUCAUCAUGAAGAACUGGAUAUGUCUGACAUAAUUUUGCUGAUAUCUUCUUAACGAUGUCUCCAAUAAACUCUGAUUCAUGCCUACAAUGAAAUUAAAUUUCG